GGUUAAGUGACUAAGCGUAGACGGUGGAUGCCUUGGCAGUCAGAGGCGAUGAAGGACGUAUUAACUUGCGAUAAGCCCAGAUAAGGCAGUAAAAGCCAUUUGAGUCUGGGAUUUCCGAAUGGGGAAACCCACCUGCAUAAGCAGGUAUCUUAGCGUGAAUACAUAGCGCUAAGAGGCGAACUCGGGGAACUGAAACAUCUAAGUACCCGAAGGAAAAGAAAUCAAUUGAGAUUCCGGCAGUAGCGGCGAGCGAACCCGGAGCAGCCCUUAAGCGGCUUAGGCGUUAGGUGAACAGGUUGGAAAACCUGGCAAUAAAGGGUGAUAGCCCCGUAACCGACAGCGCCUUAGUCGUGAAAUCGAGUAGGACGGGACACGUGAUAUCUUGUCUGAACAUGGGGGGACCAUCCUCCAAGGCUAAAUACUCCUGACUGACCGAUAGUGAACCAGUACCGUGAGGGAAAGGCGAAAAGAACCCCUGUGAGGGGAGUGAAAUAGAACCUGAAACCGUCUACGUACAAGCAGUGGGAGCCUCCUUGUGGGGUGACCGCGUACCUUUUGUAUAAUGGGUCAGCGACUUAAUGUUAGUAGCAAGGUUAACCGCAUAGGGGAGCCGUAGGGAAACCGAGUCUUAACUGGGCGUCCAGUUGCUAGCAUUAGACCCGAAACCGAGUGAUCUAGCCAUGGGCAGGUUGAAGGUUGAGUAACAUCAACUGGAGGACCGAACUCACUAACGUUGAAAAGUUAGGAGAUGACCUGUGGCUAGGGGUGAAAGGCCAAUCAAACUCGGAGAUAGCUGGUUCUCCCCGAAAGCUAUUUAGGUAGCGCCUCGGACGAAUACUACUGGGGGUAGAGCACUGUUAAGGCUAGGGGGUCAUCCCGACUUACCAACCCUUUGCAAACUCCGAAUACCAGUAAGUACUAUCCGGGAGACACACGGCGGGUGCUAACGUCCGUCGUGGAGAGGGAAACAACCCAGACCGCCAGCUAAGGUCCCAAAGUUAUCGCUAAGUGGGAAACGAUGUGGGAAGGCUCAGACAGCCAGGAUGUUGGCUUAGAAGCAGCCAUCAUUUAAAGAAAGCGUAAUAGCUCACUGGUCGAGUCGGCCUGCGCGGAAGAUGUAACGGGGCUAAGCGAUACACCGAAGCUGCGGCAAUGUCCUUAUGGAUAUUGGGUAGGGGAGCGUUGUGUAAGCUGUUGAAGGUGUGCUGAGAGGCAUGCUGGAGGUAUCACAAGUGCGAAUGCUGACAUGAGUAACGAUAAAGGGGGUGAAAAACCUCCUCGCCGGAAGACCAAGGGUUCCUGUCCAACGUUAAUCGGGGCAGGGUAAGUCGGCCCCUAAGGCGAGGCCGAAAGGCGUAGUCGAUGGGAAACGGGUUAAUAUUCCCGUACUGCUACUUACUGCGAUGGGGGGACGGAGAAGGCUAGGUGGGCCUGGCGAUGGUAGUCCAGGUUCAAGUGCGUAGGCUGAUUUCUUAGGCAAAUCCGGGAAAUCAAGGCCGAGACACGAUGUCGAGCCACCAAGGUGGUGAAGUCAUUGAUGCCAUGCUUCCGGGAAAAGCCUCUAAGCUUCAGGUAAGUAGCAACCGUACUCCAAACCGACACAGGUGGUCGGGUAGAGAAUACCAAGGCGCUUGAGAGAACUCGGGUGAAGGAACUAGGCAAAAUGGUACCGUAACUUCGGGAGAAGGUACGCUGCCCGCGGUGAAGUCCCUUGCGGAUGGAGCUAUGGGCAGUCGCAGAUACCAGGUGGCUGCAACUGUUUAUUAAAAACACAGCACUGUGCAAAAUCGAAAGAUGACGUAUACGGUGUGACGCCUGCCCGGUGCCGGAAGGUUAAUUGAUGUGGUUAUCGCAAGAGAAGCCAUUGAUCGAAGCCCCGGUAAACGGCGGCCGUAACUAUAACGGUCCUAAGGUAGCGAAAUUCCUUGUCGGGUAAGUUCCGACCUGCACGAAUGGCGUAAUGAUGGCCACGCUGUCUCCACCCGAGACUCAGUGAAAUUGAAAUCGCAGUGAAGAUGCUGUGUACCCGCGGCUAGACGGAAAGACCCCGUGAACCUUUACUACAGCUUGGCACUGAACAUUGAGCCUACAUGUGUAGGAUAGGUGGGAGGCUUUGAAGCGGCGACGCCAGUUGCUGUGGAGCCAUCCUUGAAAUACCACCCUUGUAUGUUUGAUGUUCUAACUUAGCCCCGUUAUCCGGGGUGAGGACAGUGCCUGGUGGGUAGUUUGACUGGGGCGGUCUCCUCCCAAAGAGUAACGGAGGAGCACGAAGGUGGGCUAAUCACGGUCGGACAUCGUGAGGUUAGUGCAAUGGCAUAAGCCCGCUUAACUGCGAGAGUGACGGCUCGAGCAGGUACGAAAGUAGGUCAUAGUGAUCCGGUGGUUCUGAAUGGAAGGGCCAUCGCUCAACGGAUAAAAGGUACUCCGGGGAUAACAGGCUGAUACCGCCCAAGAGUUCAUAUCGACGGCGGUGUUUGGCACCUCGAUGUCGGCUCAUCACAUCCUGGGGCUGAAGUCGGUCCCAAGGGUAUGGCUGUUCGCCAUUUAAAGUGGUACGCGAGCUGGGUUUAGAACGUCGUGAGACAGUUCGGUCCCUAUCUGCCGUGGGCGUUGGAUGAUUGAGGGGAGCUGCUCCUAGUACGAGAGGACCGGAGUGGACGAACCGCUGGUGUUCGGGUUGUGUCGCCAGACGCAUUGCCCGGUAGCUAAGUUCGGCACAGAUAAGCGCUGAAAGCAUCUAAGCGCGAAGCUGGCCCCGAGAUGAGUCAUCCCUAGAGCUUCGAGCUCUCUAAAGGGUUGUCGUAGACGACGACGUUGAUAGGCAGGGUGUGUAAGCGCUGUGAGGCGUUGAGCUAACCUGUACUAAUUGCCCGUGAGGCUUAACCAU
rnacentral:rRNA from 1 species